rnacentral:rRNA from 1 species
GACGAACGCUGGCGGCGUGCUUAACACAUGCAAGUCGAACGGUGAAGCGAGUGCUUGCACUCGUGGAUCAGUGGCGAACGGGUGAGUAACACGUGAGUAACCUGCCCAUCACUCUGGGAUAAGCACUGGAAACGGUGUCUAAUACUGGAUACGACCAACCCUUGCAUGGGGUGUUGGUGGAAAGAUUUAUCGGUGAUGGAUGGACUCGCGGCCUAUCAGCUUGUUGGCGGGGUAAUGGCCCACCAAGGCGACGACGGGUAGCCGGCCUGAGAGGGUGACCGGCCACACUGGGACUGAGACACGGCCCAGACUCCUACGGGAGGCAGCAGUGGGGAAUAUUGCACAAUGGGCGAAAGCCUGAUGCAGCGACGCCGCGUGAGGGAUGAAGGCCUUCGGGUUGUAAACCUCUUUCAGCAGGGAAGAAGCGAAAGUGACGGUACCUGCAGAAGAAGCACCGGCUAACUACGUG